UUUUUUGUUAUUACCCCUGAGCCUUUUUGGCCAUCCUUUUUAUUAUUAUCCAUUGUUAACCCCAUUUGAUCCUUUAUCCAUUUGUUUGUUUUAAAAACCACAUCAUAUUAACCCAUGACACAAACACUUCCCCACCAUGUUCAGAAUAUUAAUGUGAGUUAUCAGAUCUAUGUUCAUUCUAAGCUUGGGGUUCCUGUUGGGAUAACAACCUUUAAGUUUGGGGUAGUUGCGGCGUUAGUACAAAUGAGGGCACCUGGUGAUUG
rnacentral:lncRNA from 1 species